rnacentral:rRNA from 1 species
GAUGAACGCUGGCGGCGUGCCUAAUACAUGCAAGUCGAGCGAACAGACGAGGAGCUUGCUCCUCCGACGUUAGCGGCGGACGGGAGAGUAACACGUGGAUAACCUACCUAUAAGACUGGGAUAAUUUUGGGAAAUCGGAGCUAAUACCGGAUAAUAUACUGAACCGCAUGGUUCAAUAGUGAAAGACGGUUUUGCUGUGACUUAUAGACGGAUCCGCGCCGCAUUAGCUAGUUGGUAAGGUAACGGCUUACCAAGGCAACGAUGCGUAGCCGACCUGAGAGGGUGAUCGGCCACACUGGAACUGAGACACGGUCCAGACUCCUACGGGAGGCAGCAGUAGGGAAUCUUCCGCAAUGGGCGAGAGCCUGACGGAGCAACGCCGCGUGAGUGAUGAAGGUCUUCGGAUCGUAAAACUCUGUUAUUAGGGAAGAACAAAUGUGUAAGUAACUAUGCACGUCUUGACGGUACCUAAUCAGAAAGCCACGGCUAACUACGUG